GGCCGGUCGGGGCUUGCGCCCCAGCAGUCCGCACGCCAGGUGGAAGUGCUUGUGAGGUCGGGCUCCGCCCUUGCGCCCCAGCAGGCCUCGCGUCAGGUGGAAGUGCUCGCGAGGUUUCCCAGGGCCACGCGGUAGCCGUGCAGGGGCGGGGUGGGGUUUACGACGGUGGCCGGGGCUGGGGAGCCGUGACAACUUGCUGGGCGCCAGGGCAGGGAGAGGAUUAUUUGACACAUAAAUCCUUUGAAGCACCAAUUCUGUUUUAGAUGCGGACAUUGAAGUGCAAAGAAAUGAAAUAAUUGCCCAAGGUCAUGGAGCUAGAAUGCAGUGAAGCCAAGCUACAAAUCUAGACUCUUAAGCCCUUUGCUCCCAAGUCUAUUAAUCUCUGCUUCCAGUAGGAAUCUCCAGCGAUAAAACAAGCUUAAUUUAAACAACUAGGGAAACACCUUCCAAUGCGCUAAUAAUAUUACAAGUAAAAAGGCUGUAAGUGCUCCAGGAAAGUAGAAAAUCAAUAAAGGCUUUACGUCA
rnacentral:lncRNA from 1 species